rnacentral:rRNA from 1 species
AGCGAACGCUGGCGGCAGGCCUAACACAUGCAAGUCGAACGAAGUCUUCGGACUUAGUGGCGGACGGGUGAGUAACACGUGGGAACGUGCCCUUUGGUACGGAAUAACUCAGGGAAACUUGAGCUAAUACCGUAUGUGCCCUUCGGGGGAAAGAUUUAUCGCCAUUGGAGCGGCCCGCGUCUGAUUAGCUAGUUGGUGAGGUAAAGGCUCACCAAGGCGACGAUCAGUAGCUGGUCUGCGAGGAUGAUCAGCCACAUUGGGACGGAGAAACGGCCCAAACUCCUACGGGAGGCAGCAGUGGGGAAUCUUGCGCAAUGGGCGAAAGCCUGACGCAGCCAUGCCGCGUGAAUGAUGAAGGUCUUAGGAUUGUAAAAUUCUUUCACCGGGGACGAUAAUGACGGUACCCGGACAAGAAGCCCCGGCUAACUUCGUGCCAGCCGCCGCAGUAAAAC